AGGAGGAGCGUCCUGGGGGCGGGCUGUAGGGCGGGGCCAGGAUGAGCGUUAGGAGGGCGAGGCCUGGGGUAGGGCCAGGAUAAGCGUCGUUGGGGCAGGUCCUGGGUAGAGUCCAGGUUGGCGGGUCCUGGGGCGGAGUCAGGAUAGGGCGAUCCUGGAAGCUGGGCUUCAGAAGCGUCCAGCGCCACCCGUCUGGGGCCCGAAAGGAGGGAGCUUUCCCUCUGUCCUCCAGCCUUUGGACUGUCUCCAAACAAGCCAUUCGUUCACCAAAUACUUAUUAAGCACCUACCAUGUGCCUGACAAGGGAGAUGUAACGCUGGGGAAACUGAGUUACAGAGCUUUUCUGCACUGAGUCAUCAGGAGCAAAUGCUAGAUCAGACCAAGAGAUAUUCUAGCAUAUAAGAAAUGUGAUGC
rnacentral:lncRNA from 1 species